UUGUUGGUAAGGUAAAAGCUUACCAAGGCUUCGAUCAGUAGCUGGUCUGAGAGGACGACCAGCCACACUGGGACUGAGACACGGCCCAGACUCCUACGGGAGGCAGCAGUGGGGAAUUUUGGACAAUGGGGGCAACCCUGAUCCAGCCAUGCCGCGUGAGUGAAGAAGGCCUUCGGGUUGUAAAGCUCUUUCAGCCGGAACGAAACGGUUACGGAUAACACCCGUGACUACUGACGGUACCGGAAGAAGAAGCACCGGCUAACUACGUGCCAGCAGCCGCGGUAAUACGUAGGGUGCGAGCGUUAAUCGGAAUUACUGGGCGUAAAGCGUGCGCAGGUGGUUUUGUAAGUCAGAUGUGAAAGCCCCGGGCUCAACCUGGGAACUGCGUUUGAAACUACAAGACUAGAGUGUGGCAGAGGGGGGUGGAAUUCCGCGUGUAGCAGUGAAAUGCGUAGAGAUGUGGAGGAACACCGAUGGCGAAGGCAGCCCCCUGGGUCAACACUGACGCUCAGGCACGAAAGCAUGGGGAGCAAACAGGAUUAGAUACCAUGGUAGUCCAUGCCCUAAACGAUGUCAACUAGUUGUCGGGCCUUUACGGGCUUGGUAACGUAGCUAACGCGUGAAGUUGACCGCCUGGGGAGUACGAUCGCAAGAUUAAAACUCAAAUGAAUUGACGGGGACCCGCACAAGCGGUGGAUUAUGUGGAUUAAUUCGAUGCAACGCGAAAAACCUUACCUACCCUUGACAUGUAUCGAAGCCCGCAGAAAAGCGGGGGUGCCCGAAAGGGAACGAUAACACAGGUGCUGCAUGGCUGUCGUCAGCUCGUGUCGUGAGAUGUUGGGUUAAGUCCCGCAACGAGCGCAACCCUUGUCAUUAAUUGCCAUCAUUUAGUUGGGCACUUUAAUGAGACUGCCGG
rnacentral:rRNA from 1 species